UAACAUUUCCCACAAGUUGAAGCAGAAAGCACAAAAUCGCUUCCCCGUCGCCGCGCCUCACAACCUAACGCUCCAGAUUGAAUCGGAAUAAACAACACGCUCCAAUUAUCAAAUCAUCUUCCAAAAUCACCAUCUCGAUUCAAAUCGCAAUCGUAUGUACACGAAAGCAGAAGAAAAAACAACAUCGGAAUCAAAUUGAGAACUCACUAGAUUGAAGCUUUGAUUGAAGACAAACUUCGGUUGUUAUGCUUGAUGAAGUUUCCGCGUCGCCGAUGGAGACGAUGAUGACGCCUUUGGAUUUGUGUCGACUUCCAAACUUCGAUGCAAACUUUAGGUUCUUGCUGUAAAGAGAGUCUAGGUUGAAGAAACGGUUAUGUCAUAGUGAGAUUUCAACUAUUGGAAGCGGUUGAGGGUUGGAGGUUGAGAACUCGAUUGAAGGUGAUCGAGAAUGGAAUUGGAUCUUGGUUGAGGGUGAAGAAAAGAUGGAAGAAAAUAUGAGAGAGUGAAGGUGGCGAGAAGAUGGAAUGUGCCCCCUCCAAAUUGAUGAAGGUUGUGGCUGCAGGAUAUGCUGCAAGUGUACGAUUCAUGGCAAUGCAAGUUUGUGUGUGGUUCUGCCUUAUUGAAG